AGUGGAAUAACUGGGUCAAAUCAUGGUUCCAUUCCAAGUUUUCUGAGGACUCUCCAUAUUGCUUUUCAGAGUGGUUGCACCAGUUUGCAGUCCCACCAGCAAU
rnacentral:pre_miRNA from 1 species